rnacentral:rRNA from 1 species
UACGUAGGGUGCGAGCGUUGUCCGGAAUUAUUGGGCGUAAAGAGCUCGUAGGCGGUUUGUUGCGUCGGCUGUGAAAACCUACAGCUUAACUGUGGGCCUGCAGUCGAUACGGGCAGACUAGAGUGCGGUAGGGGAGACUGGAAUUCCUGGUGUAGCGGUGAAAUGCGCAGAUAUCAGGAGGAACACCAGUGGCGAAGGCGGCCUACUGGGCUCCACCUGACACUGGAGGCGCGGAAAGCGUGGGGAGCGAACCGG